rnacentral:rRNA from 1 species
GCCCAACAUAGCCCCAAAACUAACCUCAAAACACCCACUACAACAAAACAAACCAUUUGACAAAAUUAGUAAAGGCGAUUAAAC